AGAUUGCAGUGGAGGUGAGUGAGAGGUGAGAAAGAAGAGCUGCUAAAGAGGAUUCUCUAGCUUGCAACCAUGAAGUACAGAAGAUUAAUCCACAAAUAGUUUGUUGAAAGGCUUCAUCUAAAUGGAAGCUUUGUCCUUGAGACCUGAACACAAAGACUGUGACAAAUCAAGAUGACCUCUCCCGACAGGAUGACAGUGAUCCCCCAAAAGAAUAUGAUCCUGGGCAAUUUGCAGGCCUGCUCCAUGGAUCCUCUCCAGCCUGUGAGUCCCCUGAAAAUCCAUUUCAUCUCUAUGGGAAAAGAGAACAAUGUGAAAAAGGACAAGAUGAAGUCAGUUUGGCAAACAGUCCUUUGCCUUUCAAGCAGUCUCCAAUAGAAAAUAACUCAGAACCUUUGGUAAAGAAAAUUAAACCCAAAGUGGUCAGUAGAACAAUUUUUCACAAAAAAAGCAACCAACUCGAAAACCAUACCAUUGUUGGCACAAGAUCAACCAGGAGUGGAUCUCGGAAUGGGGACCAGUGGGUUAUGAACACAGGGGGAUUUGUGGAGAGAGCCUGCACUCUGGGGAGAAUAAGGUCAUUGCCUAAAGCCUUGAUCGACA
rnacentral:sRNA from 1 species